AAUCAAGAUACCUCUUAGAAAUGGUGAUCCAGGGCCUCAGAACUGGUGACAAUCUCACAGGAUCAGUUCAGCUGAGUAGGAACCAGAAUCCUACUCCAACAAAGCAAGCAGUUCUAGGGGGCUCCUUGCCUUAGGCGUCACAAUGGCUGGGAGAACGUUCCCUGCCAAGCUGCAGUGCACAGGAUCUGUUCCCUGUGCCCCAAUGGACACAGCACUGCUGCAGCAAGCCCAGAGCAGGUUACAGAGGGGGUGAGGGGACUGGAGCUCCCCUGUGAGCCUGAGAAAGGGGGCCUGUUCAGCCUGGAGGGGAGCAGGCUCUGGGGACACCUCACAGCCCCUUCCAGUGUCAGAGAGGGACCCUUCACCAGGAGCUGCAGGGAGAGGGCAACAGGGAAUGGCUUCAACUGACAGAAGGGAAAUCUAGCCUCAGGGAUUCUGUGAUUCUGUAAAUGGAGAUCUUAGAAAUAAAGCCCAGUGAGCAAACCAGAGCACCAUGAAAGACAGCAAACGUCUGUGUAAGAACCAGCUGGUGUUUCACUAACUCGCACAGCAGGCAAGCCCAGUCAAGACUUCCAAAGCACUGAAGAUAACAAGAGGCCUUGCAAAAUGGCUUCUCAAAGCCUCUCCAUAAAGGUUUCCCAAGUGUGCUCCUGUCUCCUCUUGCAGAGUGCAGAGAAAUUGCUCCAUCCCCAGUGAGUUCUCUGCUGAGUGGAGCACACGCACAUCAACUCGAUUUUAACAGGUCACGGAAUAAGCUGGGCAUUUAAAAAUAUCCACCUACCCAAAAGGACAAAUGAAUCCGUACUGUGGAGCCCUCAGCAAAGAUGGUUGGAACAAAACAAACAAAACAAUCCUGGUUUUCUAAGCUUUCCUAAUCAAUUCAAUGGAGAAAAUACCUGGAUAAACAGCAGACAUGUACACUCACCAGGGCUGGUUUUCAUCUGUCAUUGUCUGAGAGAAAAAAAUAAUACAGCACAAUUCUGAAGAGCCUUGCUUUUGCUGAAUACAGUUUGUCACUCCAGCACGUGUACAGAAAAUAAAUUUAAUAGGUUUUUUUUCAUAUUUCCUGCCACAACAAGGCGUUUUAAACGUUUAAAGAGAAAAUAACUACUCUUGACCAUCCAAGCAGUCUUGCUUUCUGAAAGAUACUGUUCUUAUUCUUUUCCUUGCCAAAGGAAUUCACGUUGUCCAUCAGACCUAGCUGGGCCAUUUGCCCCAGAAAAACACGAUGCUCCCCAUCCCUUCCUUCCAUUCCCUCCUGUGCUGCCACUGCAGGGAGAGGCCAAUUAAUUAUGGUGUUUGUUCUGCCACAAAUAACGCGGCCCAUGACCUUAUGCUUUCAAAACUGCAAUUUUUGCAUUUGUUUCUGCGGCUCGGAUCUCGAUGGGACAGCAAACAAUCAGACAUAAUUGCAGUGAUAACACACCGUAACAGAAAAACCAGCCCCGUUCCCUCCCUCGGCCACACGGCGCUGGAUUUAUCUGCUGCAGGGCAGGGGAAAUAGCUGACCAGCAGCAGCUCCUGCUCGGUAAGCUGGGCACGGGGAAAGCCUGGGCUGUUCCUGCAGGGAUACCUGACACCACAGCCCAGGUUGGCAGCGAUGGAAGUGCCCCAGCACAGCCACCGCCGAGCACCUGCCUGCCCUGCAUCCUGCUGGAAAACCCCAGCAGAGGAAUUCUGCAUCUGUGUCCGGCCCUUUGUCGCAGCUCUCCUGCGGCUGUCGCCACCCUUGCUCCUCACAAAGACAUUUUCCCGAAGACAGAUUGGCAGGAAACAUAUUUGUGAAGGUGUCCCGGGGACCAAGCCACACGCACGGACACUUACUCUGGAGGUAAUAUUUUCAUCCAGGCAUUAAAUAAAAAACAGACUUGAGAGGGAUGAAUUUUGCAACACUUUCAGGCAUCUCAUUUUUUUACUUAACCUUGUAAAACUCUUUCACUCU